rnacentral:antisense_RNA from 1 species
CUUCUCGCGCGUGAGCGCGCCCUAUCGGCUCCCGGCGCGUCAACAUUCCGCGGGCCAGGCCUUGGGGUGCGUCUGAGGAGGGGGAUGUCUGUGGCCUCUCCGCCCACACUUCCUCCACCCACCGCCCGCAGCGCCCCAGAAGGACCUAUUACUCGUUUGGCUUCUGAAGGCCGAAGCCAGGCUCUGGCGGGGAUAGAACCCUGAAGGGCCUGCGCCAGCUCCAACUUAGGGCCCUGUGCGUCGUUGCGACUGCCGCUACCACCCCAUCACGCGGCACCCCCGCCCCAACUCCGCCCGGGUCUCUGAAGAGGCAAUAGGCCUUUCAUCUCCGGGGAAAGUCUCACCUUGGCCCUCAGACACCCGCCAAGAGGGGUCGGAAGGACAGAAUUAGCAUACAGAAGAGGGGCUAGAGCACUUUGCAGGCUCUGGCCCCAGGAAUCCUUGACAGGAAGCGUGGGGUUGCUGCCCAGCCUCCCACGCAGUGUAAUAUAUUGAAGCCGGGCCCCUUUGAGGGAAUGCGACUUCCUUGGGCCGAGGGGGAAAGGGUAAAAGUUAAUUUUCAUAAAGUGCUAUGCAAGGGCUAAAUGUGAAAUUAUAAAAUGUCCUUUAAGACAGUCUUCUUGAUAUCGUAUCAAGUUUGACAAGAUUUUUGGUGCACGGUAACGCUUUUGCUCGCUUUCUACGCUGUCACGUCUCCAUCCUGCAACACUGAAUACGUAGAUGGAACGUGGAUCAGCUAAUAACUGCAGCAAAAUAAAAACUGCAUUUAUCAUCUUUAUCAUUAUUUAAAUAGACCUCCGAGAAGUCAAACUGUGAUUUAGGAAAACUUAAUCAUUGCCUCAACCUAUUUAACUAUUUUGUUUUGAAGUUACUUUACAAAUAUACCACAAAAUCCCUCUUUGUUAGGCAGUGGUAGACUUUUAAACUCACUUGUUAGAUAACCUUUCCCAGAAGCAUAUCUAGUUGAGCCUGCAAGGCAAGUAGGACUAAGGUAUAAUUACUCCCAUUUUACAGAUGAAAAUUCAGUUAUCAAAAUGUAAGUCAGUUGUUAAGCGUUGUGAGUAGUCUAUCACUGAUAAAGGGAAAACUCUAAGGUCUAUUAUUGCCUGCUUUAUUCACUAAACCAGAAAUCUCUCAAUUGUUUUUUUCCAAGUAUCUUUUGCUGCCUCUUAUGUAUUGUAGGCAGUGCCUGAUGGCUGAGAAGAAUCGCAGAGGACUAGAAAAGGUUUGAGUCUGAAAUUAUCUGGCACAGAGGAUUAGAGCUCAGAAAUAAGUGAUUGCGAAACAGUUCAACUUCCCUGUUAAUGACAACAACAACAACAGCAACACGCUUAUUAAUUCCUAGCUGGAGCAUCAAGCUUAUGAAGAUUUCCAAGUAAGACUUUAUUGUUGACCCUUGUUGAAGAGAACUCUACUUGGCUUCUUUCCUGGCUUUCCUAAAUUGUUCACAUACAAGAUAAACUACCGUCAUUCAGACUUACAGAAGUGAGAAGACAAGCUGAACCAAAUGUAAAAUGGUAGCAAUUUACAGAUGUCAGAACUAACAUGUGGAUGAACUUAGAGAUGGAGAAGAAAGCUGGGCUUUUCCAAAGAGUGGAUCUAUCUGAACUGGAUAGCACUAUUGAACUUUGUUGCAUAUUUUGUGGUAGCUCUAAAACUCCUCUGCUUGCUUACAUACAACCAGACACCAGUGCCUUCUGAAGCUAAUCCAGGCCAUUUUUAUAACCUAAUGCAGUAGCACUUUGCAAUUAGAUGAAGAAGAUCGGUGGGAUUUCUUUCUGUGGUGAUUAAAAUGUGUCAGGGGAAGAAAUCAAGACAAUACUCCAAGUGAAAAAUAUAAAGUCAGUUAUUUCUUUAAUAUUUUGUGUUAUAGUAAUCAUUUUUAUAUUUUGAGCAUACUUUUUCUUGUCUACUUAAAUACUCAAAAUUAAUUAUAAAAUGUAAAUGUAAGCACAAUGAGAUACCAUCUCAUCCCAGUUAAAAUGGCUUUUAUCAAAAAGAUAGGGAAUAAUGAAUACUGGUGGAAGGAUGUGGAGAAUGGGGAACCCUCGUACACUGUCAGUGAGAAUGUAAAUUAGUACAGCCACUAUGGAAAACUGUAUGGAAGUGCCUCCGAAAACAAAGUAGAACUACCAUGUGAUCCAGCAAUUACACUAGUGGGUAUAUAUUCAAAAGAAAGGAAAUCAACAUAUCAAAGAGAUAGCUGCAUUCUCAUGUUUAUUGAAGUCCUGUUGAAAUAGCCAAAAUAUGGAAUCAACCUAAGUGCCCAUCAGUGGAUGAAUGGUUAAAGAAAAUGUGAUUGAUAUGCAAUGGAAUAUUAUUCAGCCAUAAAAAAGAAUGAAAUCCUGGCGGGGCACAGUGGCUCAUGCAAGUAAUCCCAGCACUGACCUCAUGAAGACAGAGAGUAGAUUGGUGGUUACCAGAGGUUGAGAAGGGGAGAGGAGAGGAGGGAUGAAGAGAGGUUGAUUGAUGGAUACAAAUAUACAGUUUGAUAAUGAUAAAUCAGUAGGGUGACUAUAGUUUAUAAUAACCUAUUGUAUGGUUCAAAAUAGCUAAAAGAGAAUAAUUGAAAUAACGUAAGACAAAAAUUUAAGAUGAUAGAUAUCCCAAUUACACUGAUUUGAUCUUUACAAAUUAUAUGAAUGUAUUAAAUUAUUACAUGUAUCCCCAAAAUAUGUACAAGUAUUUUGUAUCAAUAAAAAAUAAAAUUUAAGAUAAAGUAAAUGUAAUGAUUAGCUUAUAUUUCCUAGAUUGGAAAUAAAUAUUUGCUUAAGUA